rnacentral:rRNA from 1 species
AACGAACGCUGGCGGCAGGCUUAACACAUGCAAGUCGAGCGAAACCUUCGGGUCUAUCGGCGGACGGGUGAGUAACGCGUGGGAACGUGCCCUUCUCUACGGAAUAGCCUCGGGAAACUGGGAGUAAUACCGUAUACGCCCUUUGGGGGAAAGAUUUAUCGGAGAAGGAUCGGCCCGCGUUGGCUUAGGUAGUUGGUGGGGUAAUGGCCCACCAAGCCGACGAUCCAUAGCUGGUUUGAGAGGAUGAUCCGCCACACUGGGACUGAGACGCGGCCCAGACUCCUACGGGAGGCAGCAGUGGGGAAUCUUAGACAGCGGGGGCAACCCUGAUCGAGCCAUGCCGCGUGAGUGAUGAAGGCAUUAGGGUUGUAAAGCUCUUUCAGAUGGGAAGAUAAUGACGGUACCAGCAGAAGAAGCCCCGGCUAACUUCGUG